rnacentral:rRNA from 1 species
UACGAAGGGGACUAGCGUUGUCCGGAUUUAUUGGGCGUAAAGAGCGUGUAGGCGGCCAUGUAGGUCCGUUGUGAAAACUCGAGGCUCAACCUCGAGACGCCGAUGGAAACCAUGUGGCUAGAGUCCGGAAGAGGAGAGUGGAAUUCCUGGUGUAGCGGUGAAAUGCGCAGAUAUCAGGAAGAACACCAAUGGCGAAGGCAGCUCGCUGGGACGUGACUGACGCUGAGACGCGAAAGCGUGGGGAGCAAACAGG